CUGUCCCACCUCCAGUCCAUAAAGGGGAAAUAAAUAGUUCACCGUCCACACCCCCAUCCUAUAAGGGAAUGAAUAGUUCACUGUCCCCACCUCCCAGUCCUAUAAAGGGGAAGGAAAAUAGUUCACUGUCCCCACCUCUCAGUCCUAUCUGGGGAGAAUGAAAAUAGUUCACUGUCCCCCACCCUCAGUCUUAUAAAAGGGGAUAUGAAAAUAGUUCACUGUCCCCACCUCCCAGUCCUAUAAAGGGGAAUGAAAAAUAGUGUUCAUAUGUCCCCACCUCCCAGUCCUAUUAAGGGGGAAUGAAAAUAGUUCACUGUCCCACCUCCCAGUCCGAUAGAGGGAAUGAAAAUAGUUCACUGUCCCCACCUCCCAGUCCUAUAAAGGGGAAUGAAAAUAGUUCACUGUCCCCACCUCCCAGUCCUAUGAAGGGGAAUGGAAAUAGCCUUGACUAUGCCACACCAGUAAGACUCUCAUGCCAAAACAUGUUGCUUUACGACAAUAACGACUCAAACAGAUACGUACUGUGAACUGGUGGACAAACAAGGAUACGGUUGGCUGCAACUGACCACUGGUUAAUCACUGGACCUUAACAAGGACCUUCCCUCAUUUAGGAUCCUGUCACAAAGGGAUGCCUUCUCUGACCAAUGGGAGAGCUAGGUUGACAGGCCGGCUCAUUUGAGCAGAUAAAAGGAGGGAGAAACUUUAGCCGAAUCACUGUCUGUGCUCACAAUACCGUUCUAGUUUUAAUGAUGAGAGAACAAGACCAACUCUUCCUCGUUUAUCCAUGUCUCACUGUCCCUCUAUAUAUUUCUCUCCAGUUCCCACUGUGUAUCCAGUUCUCUCUUCCUUCUUCUCUCUUUCUGACCGUUUCUACUUCUCCUCUCUCCCUCCCCUUCCCCUCUCUACCUACCUCUCUUUCCAUCCAUCCCUCCCCCUUCCCUAUUCUACCCCUCCCUCCUAUCUAUGUAUGAAACUGAAAGACUAAUUGCCUGGUGAGAGAGCUCGGCCCCCUGGUGUGAUUUGCUCUGAUGGACCUAGCAACCAAAAGUGUUCACUUUGCGGUUGAAAAUGAGGCUAAAGGGCCUAAAAGCUCUUACUCCACUCCAUCGACCGCAACCACGUUCACACAUCGUGACCGUGUCUCUAUUGGUGUGUGUACGCAUUUUUGUGUGAGUGUAUGUGCGUCCUCCAGUCUGUCAAUAUAACCCAAUCAGAACUCCCCAGACAACUCUACAAGUCACGACCCCAAGCCAUCAACAAGACCUUUUGAUCUUUUCCAGUUCAAUGGACUCUGGAUUGGUUGAGCUCAAGGACAUUGCCUUGGCUCCAUUGGAUCAAAGCAUGUCUGGUGAACUCCAGUCACUGUCACUAAGGAUCUAAGACAGACUGAAUUCUAAAUGGCACCCUAUUCCCUAUGUAGUGCAAUACUUUUGACCAGAGCCCUAUGGGCCUGGUCAAAAGUAGUACACUAUUUAAGGAAUAGGGUCCCAUUUGGGAAGCAGACAGACUGACUGAAAACCCACAGUGAUGUUGAUCCCCAUCAUCAGUUGUGGGUCUAAAUCGUCUGGUGUUAGUAGUAAGAUGAAAAGGAUGGGAACAGGAAGGGAUUGUGACUGUAUAGGCCUAGCCUGAUCAAACUGGACUAAACAUUAUGCUACCUGUUGUUUCGUAGUAUUCAGUCUAGUUUAACCAGGAUAGCAUUGCCCAUGACAGCCUAGUUAAGUUUGCAUGAGCAGGCAUUGACGUUGUGGUGUGUAUCGGGUGGUUGUGUUGUUUCUGUUGGUUUGUGUUUAUAAAUAAAAAGAAAAAGACAAUGUCCCCAUAGAACACAGAGACCCUAGCCUUCACUUAAAGCUGCAGUCUGUGACUCGGCCUCAGCUGUGUACCAAAACAAGUACCAGGACCUUGUUUUUGUUGUUUUUUCAAAUCGCAGACUGUAGCUUUAAUCAAUGCAGCGUAGUGUGAGCAGGUUGAAUACACUGUUUCUAUUACUGUACCUUCAACAAGUCAUGUCUACUGUAUAAUAAUGUGCGGUUCUGGUGUGUGUGUGUGUGUGCGUGUAUGUGUGUGUGUCUCUCUUUUACCACUCAAUAGAUCUAACAAACAAUACCACAUUGUUUUCCACAGUCUGUUGACACUGGUUUAUCACAAUGGUUUGUCUUUUAUCAAAGACAGUUAGUCCUCCUUUAUCUUCCUCUCCCUCCCCCCUCUCCCACCCACCUCUCUCCCAC
rnacentral:lncRNA from 1 species